AGCGAACGCUGGCGGCAGGCUUAACACAUGCAAGUCGAACGCCAUCUUCGGAUGGAGUGGCAGACGGGUGAGUAACGCGUGGGAACGUACCCUUUGGUUCGGAAUAUUCUCGGGGAAACUGGGAGCAAUACCGGAUAAGCCCUACGGGGGAAAGAUUUAUCGCCAAAGGAGCGGGCCCGCGUCAGAUUAGGUAGUUGGUGGGGUAAAGGCCUACCAAGCCUACGAUCUGUAGCUGGUCUGAGAGGAUGAUCAGCCACACUGGGACUGAGACACGGCCCAGACUCCUACGGGAGGCAGCAGUGGGGAAUCUUGGACAAUGGGCGCAAGCCUGAUCCAGCCAUGCCGCGUGGAUGAUGAAGGCCUUAGGGUUGUAAAAUCCUUUCAACGGGGACGAUAAUGACGGUACCCGUAGAAGAAGCCCCGGCUAACUUCGUG
rnacentral:rRNA from 1 species